rnacentral:rRNA from 1 species
CGGGGGGAGCAAGCGUUGUUCGGAUUUACUGGGCGUAAAGGGCGCGUAGGCGGCCACCGCAAGUCAAUUGUGAAAUCUCCGGGCUUAACUCGGAAAGGUCAACUGAUACUGCGGGGCUAGAGUGCAGAAGGGGCAACUGGAAUUCUCGGUGUAGCGGUGAAAUGCGUAGAUAUCGAGAGGAACACCUGCGGCGAAGGCGGGUUGCUGGGCUGACACUGACGCUGAGGCGCGAAAGCUAGGGGAGCGAACGGGAUUAGAUACCCCGGUAGUCCUAGCCUUAAACGAUGAAUGCUUGGUGUCUGGGGUUAUAAAGUCCCCGGGUGCCGUCGCUAACGCUUUAAGCAUUCCGCCUGGGGAGUACGGUCGCAAGACUG